rnacentral:ncRNA from 2 species
AUAAAAUUCAUUGAUGUAUAAUGUAUAACCUCAAUAAUAUGGUUUGAGGGUCUCUACCAGGAACCGAACAAUCCUGAUUACAAAAUUAAGUGUGCUCGUC